CCGUUCAAUAUAAUAGUUAUGGCGCAGGAGCCACUGCUCUCAAGUAUGUUGAAUUUCCGAUUCCCUGUCCAAAACAGGAUGAAGUUUUGGUAAAAGUGGAGGCCACUAGUAUCAGUCCACUUGACUUGAGAAUACAGAAAGGGGUUGUGUGGCCAUUCUUACCUCGCAAAUUCCCCAACAUCCCUGGUAUUCAUGUAGCAGGAGAAGUCGUAAAGGUUAGAUCAGGAGUCGAGAAUUAUAAAGCCGGUGAUAAAGUUGUGGCUGUACUAUCUGCAAGAAGAUGGAUUAGGGAAGA